GACGAACGCUGGCGGCGUGCUUAACACAUGCAAGUCGAACGGUGAAGCACCUUCCUUUUGGUGGGUGUGGAUGAGUGGCGAACGGGUGAGUAACACGUGAGUAACCUGCCCCCUUCUUCUGGAUAACCGCAUGAAAGUGUGUCUAAUACGGGAUAUUCUGGGUCUGUCGCAUGGCGGGCCUGGGAAAGAUAUUGUUUCGGUGGGGGAUGGGCUCGCGGUCUAUCAGCUUGUUGGUGGGGUGAUGGCCUACCAAGGCGGUGACGGGUAGCCGGCCUGAGAGGGUGGACGGUCACACUGGGACUGAGACACGGCCCAGACUCCUACGGGAGGCAGCAGUGGGGAAUAUUGCACAAUGGGCGCAAGCCUGAUGCAGCGACGCCGCGUGAGGGAUGGAGGCCUUCGGGUUGUAAACCUCUUUCGCCAGUGAAGCAGGCCUGUCCCUUUUGUGGGUGGGUUGACGGUAGCUGGAUAAGAAGCGCCGGCUAACUACGUG
rnacentral:rRNA from 1 species